ACAUCGGUUUUUCUAAAAACCAUCGGUUUUUUAAAAACCAAUGUUG
rfam:Glycine max cultivar Williams 82 chromosome 6, whole genome shotgun sequence.